rnacentral:lncRNA from 1 species
UGGAAUUGGUUGGGCCUUUUGGAGGUGAAGGCUUACUUGUAUUUAUACUUGCAUAAAUUUUGUGUGGCCUCUACACGUGGCUAUAACUUAAUUUUUUAUAUAAAGAAUUUUUUUUUUUUUUUAUAUUGAAGUGGGAUAUAUAUAAUUUUUUUUUGUGCUUUGACUAAACAAAUCGUGUGCCCACCACCGAAGUCCGAACCGAACAAACGACACAUAGAUUUAGAGGAUAGCUCGAGAAGUUUUAACUUUGAUGGAAGACACACACACACAAAAAAAGGUUUGUUUUAAUAUUUUAAAUUACAUGGCAAUAUGGCAUUGC